ACGCACGCUGGCGGCGUGCUUAACCCAUGCAAGUCGCACGGAAAGGCCCUGCUUUUGUGGGGUGCUCGAGUGGCGAACGGGUGAGUAACACGUGAGUAACCUGCCCUUGACUUUGGGAUAACUUCAGGAAACUGGGGCUAAUACCGGAUAGGAGCUCCUGCUGCAUGGUGGGGGUUGGAAAGUUUCGGCGGUUGGGGAUGGACUCGCGGCUUAUCAGCUUGUUGGUGGGGUAGUGGCUUACCAAGGCUUUGACGGGUAGCCGGCCUGAGAGGGUGACCGGCCACAUUGGGACUGAGAUGCGGCCCAGACUCCUACGGGAGGCAGCAGUGGGGAAUAUUGCACAAUGGGCGGAAGCCUGAUGCAGCAACGCCGCGUGCGGGAUGACGGCCUUCGGGUUGUAAACCGCUUUCGCCUGUGACGAAGCGUGAGUGACGGUAAUGGGUAAAGAAGCACCGGCUAACUACGUG
rnacentral:rRNA from 1 species